rnacentral:ncRNA from 1 species
UCCUUAUCGAGAGAGGUGGAGGGACUGGCCCUUUGAAGCCUCGGCAACAACUAUUUUUAGACUGUGCCAAUUCCAGCAAGCGAAAGCUUGAAAGAUAAGAG